CAAUAGCGUAUAUUAAAGUUGUUGCAGUUAAAAAGCUCGUAGUCGGAUUUCGGGUUGGCGCGGUCGGUCUGCCGUUGGGUAUGCACUGACUGUCGCCUUCCUUUCCGGGGUAGAUCGUGCGUUUACUCGUGCGUUUCUCCUCGCGUUUACUUUGAGAAAAUCAGAGUGUUCAAAGCAGGCCUUUGCCAUUGUAUGUGUUAGCAUGGGAUAAUGGAAUAGGACUCUGGUGCUAUUUUGUUGGUUUCGAACGCCGGGGUAAUGAUUAAUAGGGACAGUCAGGGGCACUCGUAUUCCGUAGAGAGAGGUGAAAUUCUUAGACCCACGGAAGACGCACUACUGCGAAAGCAUUUGCCAGGGAUGUUUUCACUGA
rnacentral:rRNA from 1 species